UGGGUACACUUAGAGCCCAGUUUGGAGGCAGUGUUAAUAGUCGAGCGUUUGGCCGCGCCGAUGGUUAGUGAAUC
rnacentral:ncRNA from 1 species